rnacentral:lncRNA from 1 species
CACACACCUGUGGAGGGCUCCUGCAAGACCUUCAGCGGAAAGGGAGGAGGGAUGCAGCUGGAGGAAGAAUGAGGCCGGUGCUGAUGGAAGACGUCAAUGGAGACUCUGAAAACAAACCCAGAGACCAGAUGUCUAUAAUGGGCUGUCCGAGGAUUUCACCCCAGAAAUGGGAAGACUUUGCUUUCUCAUCGCUUCCCACAUUGAGAGGAUACGUGUCGCUUGACCUGUGCUCCUUUUCAACAAUCGGAGUGUCCUCUCCAAGUCUGUGUCCAGCUCUGCAAGCCUGCAGGACAUUCUCAGUGUCAUCAAUGAUCCACACAGCACUUCGAUGUGUCAGAAGUCCUUCCUGCGGGCUCCGUGAGCCCUGCUCGUGGAGCUGCUCAUCUCCCGCACGCUGGGGGCUUCCCUCGGAAAUUGGGCGACACUGACUGCAAGCUUGCCUUGGAGGUGGCGCUUCCCCAUGACGGCACCUGCUGGAUUUGUUUGCCACAACCCUUGGGGGUGACAAGGACGCCUCCUUGACCAAACUUUAGUCAGGCUUCUAGGAGCCCUCCUUUUGAAAAAGCUUCACCCUUGGCUUGCCAGAGUCCAGUUUUAGCAAAGAAUCCUGUUAGGCCAGUCUGUCUAGAGUCCCCCACCCUUGGUGUCCAGACAUGCUCCUCUUCCCCCCACCCUUGGUCCUCAGCAAGUUCCUCCCGGUGACCCUCCGUGCAUCCCCGCACCCCGCCCUUCGGCCAUGAUUGCCCACUCGUCCCCAUGAACUCAGAGUGGAGCCCAGGCUCUCCCUGCUGUUGCACUUAUCUUGAAUAAAGUCUUCC